rnacentral:rRNA from 1 species
UGGGGAAUUUUGGACAAUGGGCGAAAGCCUGAUCCAGCAAUGCCGCGUGUGUGAAGAAGGCCUUCGGGUUGUAAAGCACUUUUGUCCGGAAAGAAAUCCUUGGCUCUAAUACAGUCGGGGGAUGACGGUACCGGAAGAAUAAGCACCGGCUAACUACGUGCCAGCAGCCGCGGUAAUACGUAGGGUGCAAGCGUUAAUCGGAAUUACUGGGCGUAAAGCGUGCGCAGGCGGUUUGCUAAGACCGAUGUGAAAUCCCCGGGCUCAACCUGGGAACUGCAUUGGUGACUGGCAGGCUAGAGUAUGGCAGAGGGGGGUAGAAUUCCACGUGUAGCAGUGAAAUGCGUAGAGAUGUGGAGGAAUACCGAUGGCGAAGGCAGCCCCCUGGGCCAAUACUGACGCUCAUGCACGAAAGCGUGGGGAGCAAACAGGAUUAGAUACCCUGGUAGUCCACGCCCUAAACGAUGUCAACUAGUUGUUGGGGAUUCAUUCCUUAGUAACGUAGCUAACGCGUGAAGUUGACCGCCUGGGGAGUACGGUCGCAAGACUGAAACUCAAAUGAAUUGACGGGGUCAUAGCUGUUUCCU